rnacentral:misc_RNA from 1 species
CUAGGACGAUCUGCUGUCGAAAAUCCUCUACCAAUGGAUAAAACUUUAGUUUUAGUAUAAGUGUAGUCUCGUUUUUUAUUGGAAAGUAAAGGAACAAUAACCAAUUUCUUAUUCUAUCAAGAGUGUUGGUUAUUGUUCCUUUACUUAGUGAUCUUUUCUUUAGAUAAGUUUUUUUUACUUCAACAUAAAAAAAAAAGUAUUCUAGUCUUAGGGAUUGUUUUCUGAUUGCGUAUCAWACUUUUUUCCUUAUAUAGGAAAUUAUUUAUAAUUUGUAUACAUUCUUUUUAACCCUUUCUUUUUAAGGUUUUGUGAAAUUAUUAUYUUCUAGUUUUUUUUUUUGGAAUCAAAAUAAAGGAAAUACU